CCCGCCACCACCGCCACUAUACCUGUCUUAAAUCCAAGUGACUGGUAUUUACCAGUGGUAGGCUUAGAAGAAUCUCCAGCUGUAGGAAGCAGGCCUCUCCUGGCUCAUGGAGAGCUCUGUGCCGAAAGGCUGGUAACACGA
rnacentral:snoRNA from 1 species